CUCGCGCUGCUGGCCGCCAUCCCGUCGCUGUCGCGUGCCUCUGUCCGCUCGCUUUAAAUAACAACAAUAAUUACAAGGGCCGGAGAUUGUUCGGAGCUGGAAUGGCCUGAGCAUGGGUACCAUACUGUUGGGGGUGUCCGGGAGCUGCGAGGACAGAGAGGUCACAUCGCUACCGGAGGAGUUGCCUAGGGAGCCUGACUCCGAGAAGGAUACCUGAGGGGGUCGGGGGCAGAGACACCAAGGAAAAACAAGUGAACUCAGGCUCGAGCUGCUGCUUCCGGAUCACCUACUCAGAGACCCGGGAGUGUUCCCUGCCGCCAAGCCAUCAGCUGAGUAAACCCUGAAGAGAGGGAUGCCAGGUCCCCACCCGUGCAGGGGAUUGGGACCCGGUGAGAGACAGACACAUUAAAACCGUGUCGGCAGCGAGGUUGCAGACCCAGCAGGCUUUCUCAUUACCAAAUCUGUCCCCAAGACCCUGAUCCUAUGCGAAUGAAGUCCCCUCCACCCAAAUCCCACUGUGCAAUUUGCACAGGGCCUCACCAGCUGUUGAAAGGCGGGUUGGUCCAGGUCGCUCUGGAGUGCGAACUCGCUGAGUGCUUUCCAGGGCGGCUGGUACGUCUGCACCUCGACUGCGCUGCCCUGCACCGCGUUCUCAUGGCGGAUGGGGCUGCCUGCCACCAGAGGCGUCCCAGUCAGUCCCUGGAGGCUCUGAGGGGCAAGCAGACGGACAACACCAGGGCCUUAGAGUUAAGUCAGCUUUUGCACCACUUUGGAGUACAGAGCCCCAGAUUCUGGAGAGCAAGUUGGGAACUAAACGGUCUUGAAGAGGAGACGCACUCCACUGCACACAACGAAUCCUCAUUCCGCAGUGGAGAUACCCCAGGGCCCACAAACCUGCUACCCGGUUCACUCCUAGGAGUCAAAUUCCAGGCCAGGGAAAAGGAAAUCCCUAGCCAGGUAUGCGAAACAAAACAAAACAAAACAAACAAAAAUUCAGAUCCAGCCCGAUUCCCUCCCCUCCCUUCAAAAAAAGUACAACCCCGCAGUCCCAACCAUCCCACAGGGUCGACUCUGAGCUGAGGGCCCCUCAACUCUGGGCUGUCACUGGCACAAGGUACCACCGACAACCACCGCGACUUGAACGCCAAGGUCAGCCUUUCUCUUAAGGUGCGGGUGCCAAGGUACGUGGGGAGUCCAGCUCCGCCUAGUUCUCCCCAGAAAGAGGCCUUGGAAAGCCGCGGCGGCUUCCAGCCGCCUUCCCCCCGCCACCAGCACCUCACCGCCUUGUCGCUGUGUUGCUGCUGCUGUAGCUGCUUCAUGAGAAUCGACUUCUUCUUGUCCUUGCAACGCUUGUUCUGAAACCACACGCGGAUGACCCGCGGGCUCAAGCCGGUCAUCUCUACCAGCUGCUCCUUCAUGAGCGCGUCGGGCCGCGGGUUGGCGGCGUAGCACGUCCGCAGGGUGUGCAGUUGCUUUUCGUUGAGCACAGUCCGCACCCGGGUUGUCUUCUCCGCCUGCUUGUGCACGUGCGUGCGCAGCGAGGGCUGUCGUCCGGACCCGGCGUCUGCAGGGGCCGAGAGACGGGAGGUCGGAUGGGCUGCCAGCCAUUCUCCCCAAGAUUUCGUUUCCCUGAUAUUUCAUUCGUUUAGCGAUUGUUCAUCUCCCUCUGCAUCCGCUCGCCUUGCCCAGAGGGAGAAUGCUUUUUGUUCUGUCCCUAUCUCCCUAGCCGGAUUGCCUUGCUGCGAUCUCCCCGAGUCCUGUAGGAUCCUGGAGUUCCGCUCUAAGCCGCUGCGGUACUAAUACACCCUAGGAAAACCCAACUGCGAACAGCCGGACAAGCAAAACCCUCAGGAAGAAGGUGGAAUUUUAGAGGAAGAGGUGGAAAUCUAAAUGCGAUUCCCGGCGGGGAAAGGAAAGGGACAGGGACCCAGGUCACAGCACAACUCCUAGACUGGGAGACUCUCUUUCUGCUCCUAAGGGGUCUCCUGGGCUGGGCUCGCCCUUAGGAACACUCUCGGAAUAGGAAGAUGCUGACUAGGGGCAGCAGAGGCCUUCUGGGCACAGUAUGGCUCCUUCCUGGCUGCCUGCCUUGGGGCUUCAGUCUGAGAUUCUCUCCAUCGCUCUGGGUUCCCUCAGCUUAGUGACUGCAGCUUUUCACACACACCAUGAACAGCCUCAAGCCUACAUUUCAAAACAAAGGGGAGUCCCUCAACACCAACUCCAUUCUGUUUUACUUCCAACCAGGUCUACACACCCUAGAUGUUAGCUGCAUUGUUUACAUUAAUGUCCCCUCUAGGCAUUUCUAGGUCUGGGUAAACAUUUACAAAUAGCCCACCCAGACCAAUUUCCUCCUACAGUGUGGAAAAGGAGUUACAGAGAGGAAGGAGUCCCUAGUGCCACACUGCACAAGGAGGCCUGGUCUAGUACGGUCUGAGUUGCAGAUCCCAUGGCUUCCUGAAACUGGGGUCUUGGUCGCAUCCUCUCCACCUGCUUCUUGUCAACAUUCAUUUCCCAGUCUGAGUAACUCCUGGCCAGGGCACCUAUCAUCCUAGGAGGGUUUUAUUCAAUAAACUCCCUGAAGCUUUAUGCUAGCUGGACAUCAAAACAAGAACACAGGCCCCUCUUCUGCACCGCUGGCCUUCUUCCGUAGGCUCUGGUGGGAUAGCUUUUCUUCCUGAAGGUAACCUGUACAUCAAAUGAGUUCUAAACACAACCCAGACAGGCAGCACCUAUGAUUCCCGGUCCUCCACUCUCCGGAUCCUAGCUUGUGUCCUGCAUGGUCCGGGACACGGAGAACACAACUCCCGAGGCUCGCACACGCUCACAUACAUACAAUUUUACCCCCCAGCACUCGCAGACACAUAGCAGGGUUCCCAGCGCACGCGACCUUUCCCACCGGCUUCCCGUCAGAAGCUCGGCGGCGGUCGGCUACCCACUCGUACAUCCCACGGCCGCGGCACAGCCCUGCGGGCCCGAAGAGCGGCUUACCUGGCAGAUGCAGGCCGCCGCGGGCGCCGGGGAGCGGGCCGGGACUGCGCGGGCUGCCGGCCGCAGCGCGCUCCAGCAGGAGGCCGUGGUCGGCUCGGCAGAGCAGCUCGUGCUCCCGUAGCGAGAACUCGUCUCCAGGGAGCAGCUGGCGGCUGCACACGGAGCAGCGGAAGCACUCGAUGUGGUACACGCUGUCCCGCGCCCGCAUCACCAGGUCGCUGCUGCUGAAGCCCACCUGGCACUGGGCACACUUGAUGCCGAACAGCCUGCGGGCCCGGGCGCGGCGGGCGUCAGCGCAGGGACCAGAGUCCGGGACGCGCGGCCGUGUCCCCCCCUCCCAGCCCAAGGGGGCCGAACCCCGGGUCCCGCCGGCUCACCUCACGUAGUCCCGCUUGCAGUAGGUUUUCCCGUCUCUCACGAAGCACGUGCACGUCUCGUCCAGGUACUGGCUGCACUCUGCGCACUUGAGGCAGGCGGCGUGCCACUCGAGGUCGGGCGACACCCGAAGGAUAAACUGGUCGUGGAUCUGACUCCCGCAGCCCACGCACAUGGCCGUCCCGGGCUUCUCUAGCAGGGAAGGGCGCAGGGCGGGCAUCAGGCCCGGCUGCUGGACCCCGACCGGCCUUGGCCGCUGCAGCCCCAACCCAACCAGCCCUCCCUGCCUCCCUCGUUCUGCCGCUCUUAGAAGUGCGACCACAAGGGAACCGUAAGCUUUCGAAUGAUCCAGAAAAUAGGAAACGAAAACAACACGAUCUCCUGACAUUUCCGUAUCACCGUCUUUGAACACGGGUGGAGUAUCCGUUCAGCUAGAGACAGAACUAACGGGAGGCAGGCGACAGCAUGGUGACACCGGGGAGCCCGGGACGUCUCCCGUGUCCACACUGUCGGCCAAGCCCGGAUUUCCGCCCGCUCCCGCUCACAGCAACUCCCUCCUAUUUCAACACCGACACCGCAGCAUUCAGCCCUGUCCCCUCUCUGCUUCUUCGACAGUUCCUUAAACACCUCAGAUCAAGCGACUGAAACCCUCUAUCUUCGAAAGACAGAAAAGAAACCCAUCUCCCUAAGUCAAACCUAAUCGUCCUAGCAGAAAAGAGAAAGAAUUUCACAGCCUGAGGUCAUCCCAGCCAACUUGGGAAAUAACGUCUAAUUACAAAAUAAAAUAGUAGGAUUCCAACGAAUAAACGCUGUUACAGG